rnacentral:SRP_RNA from 1 species
ACCGGGCGUGGUGGUGCGUGCCUGUAGUCCCAGCGACUCGGGAUGCUGAGAAGGGAGGAUCGCUUGAAUCCAGGAGUUCUGGGCUGCAGUGCGCUAAGCCCAUGGGUGUCCGCACUAAAUUCGGCAUCAAUAUGGUGACCUCCCGGGAGCGGGGGACCACCGGGUUGCCUAAGGAGGGGUGAACCAGCCCAGGUCGGAAACAGAACAGGUCAAAGCUCCUGUGCUGAUCAGAAGUCUGGAAGCUCUGAACAACUUACUGUUAACCAAAGUGCCCCAUGACUUCUGUUGACCAAGACAGAUCACA